AAAAGUCAAAUUUGUAUGAAGUAGGAACGUUUGCCGCUAGGGACGCUGUUCCAACUGCAUACAAAUUUGAGUUA
rfam:Bombyx mori DNA, contig: Bm_scaf31_contig19330, strain: p50T/Dazao, build 2, whole genome shotgun sequence.